AUGUCCUGCAAAAAAGCUGCUAAAGAAACCUGCUUCUGUGAUCAUUGCUUCCGCUGACAGCACCGGUGCAAUUCCAUUGGUAUCGAAGCUGUCUCCAGGACAAGCCGCUUAUCACUUUUUGGCAGGCUAUCAGGAUGGAAAAUUCUUGCCUGCUUUCAGCAGAGGUCCUUCGCCUCUUGAUCCGCUAGCACUUGCCAUUGCCCUAUUGUCACAUUUAAAGAAUAAUGAGAUCUCGUCCUUCUUGAUCAAUGUUAACAGUGGUGGAAAGCAUAUAACUGGUGAGGAGAUUAUUAGACUUGCUUCAGUCACUUUAUCCGAUAAAGCGCCAGAGGGCAAAACAGGGAUUGUUGAUUCCAAAGUUAGAGAUCUCAAGGGGAAGUACAGGAGUUUUUUAUCUAGUAAGUUUCAGGAGCUGCCUGAAGAGUUCACAUUUUGACUAGUGCUUCUCAUCUCGGCAAGCACAGUCCUAUGAUGUCUAUUUUGUGCUGUAAGCCUUCGAAAACAAAGCUGGUCCCGUAUUUAUGGAUGCUAUCUUGUAACGGCAUCGCCAGUUAGUAGAAUUUUCAUCCGUUUGAUUCUCGUGACAGGCAUCUAUGGCUAUCCUCUUGAUGGUAUCACUAGAGUCUGUGGUUAUUGGCUAAAUUGUACUUAAAUGCCCUAUAAUUUCAUCAAUGCUGUAAUUAAGUGACCGCUAUUUUCAAACCGAGCAAAUAAAUGCCUCGUAGUAUUUAAAUGUUACAGAUAAAUGCCUAAAGCUUCAAAUUAUCA